rnacentral:rRNA from 1 species
UAACUGGAGAGUUUGAUCCUGGCUCAGAACGAACGCUGGCGGUGUGCUUAACACAUGCAAGUCGAACGAGAAAGUUUCCUUCGGGAAGCUAGUAAAGUGGCGCAAGGGUGAGUAACACGUGAAUAAUCUGCCCUCGAGAUCGGGAUAACCUGAGGAAACUUAGGCUAAUACCGGAUAAGACCACAUUUCAUAUGGAAUGUGGGAAAAGGAGUCUCAAUCUUCACUCGAGGAUGAGUUCGCGGACCAUUAGCUUGUUGGUGAGAUAAAAGCUCACCAAGGCAACGAUGGUUAGCCGGCCUGAGAGGGCGAUCGGCCACACUGGAACUGAGACACGGUCCAGACUCCUACGGGAGGCAGCAGUGGGGAAUAUUGCGCAAUGGGCGAAAGCCUGACGCAGCAACACCGUGUGAGCGAUGAAGGCCUUAGGGUUGUAAAGCUCUGUCAAAUGGGAAGAAUUAUGACGGUACCAUUAGAGGAAGCCCCGGCUAACUCCGUGCCAGCAGCCGCGGUAAUACGGAGGGGGCAAGCGUUGUUCGGAAUUAUUGGGCGUAAAGCGUAUGUAGGCGGCCGAGUAAGUCAAGCGUGUAAGCCCGUGGCUCAACCACGGAAUUGCGUUUGAAACUACCCGGCUUGAGUACAGGAGAGGAAAGCGGAAUUCCCAGUGUAGCGGUGAAAUGCAUUGAUAUUGGGAAGAACAUCUGUGGCGAAGGCGGCUUUCUGGUCUGUUACUGACGCUGAGAUACGAAAGCCAGGGGAGCGA